GUCGAGAAUCUUCCGCAAUGCGCGAAAGCGUGACGGAGCGACACCGCGUGAUGGAUGAAGUCCUUCGGGGCGUAAACAUCUUUUAUAAAGGAGGAAAUUUUUGACGUUACUUUAUGAAUAAGGGGCUCCCAAUCUCGUGCCAGCAGGAGCGGUAAUACGAGAGCCUCAAGCGUUAUCCGGAAUCAUUGGGCGUAAAGGGUGCGUAGGUGGUUUGAUUAGUCUCCCGUUAAAACUUCGAGCUUAACUCGAAAAGAGCGGGGGAAACGGUCAAACUAGAGUAUGUGAGAGGUGUGUGGAACUCAUGGUGUAGGGGUGAAAUCCGUUGAUAUCAUGGGGAACACCAAAAGCGAAGGUAGCACACUGGCACAUCACUGACACUGAGGCACGAAACCUAAGGUAGCGAAUGGGAUUAGAAACCCUGGUAGUCC
rnacentral:rRNA from 1 species